GACGAACCGUGCGAACGUUGUUCGGAAUCACUGGGCUUAAAGGGCGCGUAGGCGGGCUGCCGCGUCCGGGGUGAAAUCCCACGGCUCAACCGUGGAACUGCCUCGGAUACGGGCGGUCUUGAGGGGGGUAGGGGCACGCGGAACUGUGGGUGGAGCGGUGAAAUGCGUUGAUAUCCACAGGAACUCCGGUGGCGAAGGCGGCGUGCUGGACCCCAUCUGACGCUGAGGCGCGAAAGCGUGGGGAGCAAACAGG
rnacentral:rRNA from 1 species